rnacentral:rRNA from 1 species
AUUGAACGCUGGCGGCAUGCUUUACACAUGCAAGUCGGACGGCAGCACAGAGAAGCUUGCUUCUUGGGUGGCGAGUGGCGAACGGGUGAGUAACAUAUCGGAACGUACCGAGCAGUGGGGGAUAACUAAUCGAAAGAUUAGCUAAUACCGCAUAUCUUCUGAGGAAGAAAGCAGGGGACCAUUUGGCCUUGCGCUGUUUGAGCGGCCGAUAUCUGAUUAGCUAGUUGGUGGGGUAAAGGCCUACCAAGGCGACGAUCAGUAGCGGGUCUGAGAGGAUGAUCCGCCACACUGGGACUGAGACACGGCCCAGACUCCUACGGGAGGCAGCAGUGGGGAAUUUUGGACAAUGGGCGCAAGCCUGAUCCAGCCAUGCCGCGUGUCUGAAGAAGGCCUUCGGGUUGUAAAGGUCUUUUGUCAGGGAAGAAAAGGGCGGGGUUAAUACCCCUGUCUGAUGACGUACCUGAAGAAUAAG